GACGAACGCUGGCGGCGUGCCUAAUACAUGCAAGUCGAACGCAGUGGGGACGGGUGAGUAACACGUGGGUAACCUCCCAUCAGAGGGGAUAACCCUUGGAAACAGGUGCUAAACCGAUACUGAUGGAUGCACCCGCGGUGCAUUAGCUAGUUGGUGGGGUAACGGCUCACCAAGGCCACGAUGCAUAGCCGACCUGAUAGGGGGAUCGGCCACACUGGGACUGAGACACGGCCCAGACGCCUACGGGAGGCAGCAGUGGGGAAGCUUGGGCAAGGGACGAAAGUCUGACCGAGCAACGCCGCGUGAUUGAAGAAGGUUUUAGGAUCGUAAAACUCUGUUGUUGGGGAAGCGGUAUCUAAACAGAAAGCAACGGCUAACUACGUGCCAGCAGCCGCGGUAAUAC
rnacentral:rRNA from 1 species